rnacentral:piRNA from 2 species
GCGCUGAUACUCGAGGCUGUGGCG